UGGGGAAUUUUGGACAAUGGGCGCAAGCCUGAUCCAGCCAUGCCGCGUGCAGGAUGAAGGCCUUCGGGUUGUAAACUGCUUUUGUACGGAACGAAAAGACUCUGGUUAAUACCUGGGGUCCAUGACGGUACCGUAAGAAUAAGCACCGGCUAACUACGUGCCAGCAGCCGCGGUAAUACGUAGGGUGCGAGCGUUAAUCGGAAUUACUGGGCGUAAAGCGUGCGCAGGCGGUUAUGUAAGACAGAUGUGAAAUCCCCGGGCUCAACCUGGGAACUGCAUUUGUGACUGCAUAGCUAGAGUACGGCAGAGGGGGAUGGAAUUCCGCGUGUAGCAGUGAAAUGCGUAGAUAUGCGGAGGAACACCGAUGGCGAAGGCAAUCCCCUGGGCCUGUACUGACGCUCAUGCACGAAAGCGUGGGGAGCAAACAGGAUUAGAUACCCUGGUAGUCUACGCCCUAAACGAUGUCAACUGGUUGUUGGGUCUUCACUGACUCAGUAACGAAGCUAACGCGUGAAGUUGACCGCCUGGGGAGUACGGCCGCAAGGUUG
rnacentral:rRNA from 1 species